AGUGAACGCUGGCGGUAGGCCUAACACAUGCAAGUCGAACGGCAGCACAGUAAGAGCUUGCUCUUACGGGUGGCGAGUGGCGGACGGGUGAGGAAUACAUCGGAAUCUACUUUUUCGUGGGGGAUAACGUAGGGAAACUUACGCUAAUACCGCAUACGACCUACGGGUGAAAGCAGGGGAUCUUCGGACCUUGCGCGAUUGAAUGAGCCGAUGUCGGAUUAGCUAGUUGGCGGGGUAAAGGCCCACCAAGGCGACGAUCCGUAGCUGGUCUGAGAGGAUGAUCAGCCACACUGGAACUGAGACACGGUCUAGACUCCUACGGGAGGCAGCAGUGGGCAAUAUUGGACAAUGGGCGAAAGCCUGAUCCAGCCAUACCGCGUGGGUGAAGAAGGCCUUCGGGUUGUAAAGCCCUUUUGUUGGGACAGAAAAGCAGCAGGUUAAUACCCCGCUGUUCUGACGGUACCCAAAGAAUAAGCACCGGCUAACUUCGUG
rnacentral:rRNA from 1 species